rnacentral:rRNA from 1 species
AUUGAACGCUGGCGGCAGGCUUAACACAUGCAAGUCGAGCGGAGAUGAGGUGCUUGCACCUUAUCUUAGCGGCGGACGGGUGAGUAAUGCUUAGGAGUCUGCCUAUUAGUGGGGGACAACAUUCCGAAAGGAAUGCUAAUACCGCAUACGCCCUACGGGGGAAAGCAGGGGAUCUUCGGACCUUGCGCUAAUAGAUGAGCCUAAGUCGGAUUAGCUAGUUGGUGGGGUAAAGGCCUACCAAGGCGACGAUCUGUAGCGGGUCUGAGAGGAUGAUCCGCCACACUGGGACUGAGACACGGCCCAGACUCCUACGGGAGGCAGCAGUGGGGAAUAUUGGACAAUGGGCGGAAGCCUGAUCCAGCCAUGCCGCGUGUGUGAAGAAGGCCUUUUGGUUGUAAAGCACUUUAAGCGAGGAGGAGGCUACCUGGAUUAAUACUCUAGGAUAGUGGACGUUACUCGCAGAAUAAGCACCGGUUAACUCUGUGCCAGCCGCCGCAGUAACAC